rnacentral:rRNA from 1 species
UACGGAGGGAGCUAGCGUUGUUCGGAAUUACUGGGCGUAAAGCGCGCGUAGGCGGCUUUGUAAGUUAGAGGUGAAAGCCCGGAGCUCAACUCCGGAACUGCCUUUAAAACUGCAUCGCUUGAAUCCAGGAGAGGUGAGUGGAAUUCCGAGUGUAGAGGUGAAAUUCGUAGAUAUUCGGAAGAACACCAGUGGCGAAGGCGACUUCCUGGCCUGUUCUUGACGCUGAGGCGCGAAAGCUAGGGGAGCAAACGGG